CCCUCCAUUGAAGGCUCUCGGCCAACAGCCCUGAAAAUUCACUUCCAUUUUUAGCUCUCCAAAAAUUUAUUUCUUGGUGUUAAACCACUAAUUAGAGGUCCCUAAGUAACUUGGAAGCAUUGUUGGGGUGAUCAAGUCCUUCAUUCAAGAGAUUGGAAAACCCUAGCCUAUUAAAAGUUGAAGAGAAAAAGAUCGUGGGCAGCCCGAAUCAUAGUUUGGACUUAGCUUGAGUUGGAUCAUAUUGGAGAGCGUUUGAGGUACAGACGCACAGCCUGGUGAUCCACCUGUUUAGGACACCCUUCCUGCUAUUCGGAGUGCUCCUCUCUUUCCGGAGCUUAUACUUUUGUGAUGCCUCCGAAAAAGGCGACGACCGCCCAGAAGAAAAAGGGCGUGGUAGGAGAGACCAGCCGGGCUCAGAGGGGUACUCGGACCCUCGCUCAGAUGAUGCGUGAUAUUGCGUCCCGGCCAGCAGACUCUGCUACGUCUUCAUCGUCAAAGGAGUCUGGAGCAGCUUCACCCUUAACUCCAGAGGCUCCAGCUCCCGCGCCUCCAGUUUCCCAGCCAGGGGCGGACGAUGGUACCCUGCGAGAGGCAGUUCAGCUAUUGACUCGACUGGUAGCAGGGCAGGUUCAUAGGCAGGGAGGAGGAGAUGGUCGGGCAGACAGGCGCGACAG